rnacentral:rRNA from 1 species
GACGAACGCUGGCGGCGUGCUUAACACAUGCAAGUCGAACGGAAAGGCCUCUUUCGGGGGGUACUCGAGUGGCGAACGGGUGAGUAACACGUGAGUAACCUGCCCUUGACUUUGGGAUAACUUCAGGAAACUGGGGCUAAUACCGGAUAGGAGCUCCUGCUGCAUGGCGGGGGUUGGAAAGUUUCGGCGGUUGGGGAUGGACUCGCGGCUUAUCGGCUUGUUGGUGGGGUAGUGGCUUACCGAGGCUUUGACGGGUAGCCGGCCUGAGAGGGUGACCGGCCACAUUGGGACUGAGAUACGGCCCAGACUCCUACGGGAGGCAGCAGUGGGGAAUAUUGCACAAUGGGUGGAAGCCUGAUGCAGCAACGCCGUGUGCGGGAUGACGGCCUUCGGGUUGUAAACCGCUUUCGCUCAUGACGAAGCUUUGUGUGACGGUAGUGGGUAAAGAAGCACCGGCUAACUACGUG